UUUAUAUGAGUUUAAAUGAAUUUAUAAAUAGAAUUUAACAGAUUAUUUUAUAAUUAGGGUUUAUUAUAAUUAAGAUUAAUUAAAGAAUCUUGUUUCUACAACUGGAAGAAGAAGAAAAAUCGCGACCAGAGAUUUGCGAUUGUUGCUACGCGAUUUGCGAUCUUGCAUUUUCUCCAAAGCAAACUUCCGCUUUCUUGACAUGUCCCCAAAUCAGUUUUCUCCAAAGCAAUUUCUCUAACACGUCCCCAAAUCAGUUUUCUUUCUGAUUUUUUUCCCGGACGCGUUCUUGACGAUUUUUUUGGAGAUUUCUUGCGAUUCUUUGGAGAUUUUUUUGGACAAUUUGAGAAAGAUUAGACGCGAUUCUGCAUCCAUGAUUAUGAUUCUGCAUCCGCCAAUCGCGAUUGUUGCUUCCGAUUACAGAAGAUUGUUGCUGCUACUGCAUUCCGUGAUUCUGCUUCAUAUCGGUAUCUUUUAAAUCAUUUUUUAAAUAAAAAAUUGUUUCUGCUGAUUUCAUUUGCUGUUUUUUAAAUAAAAAAACUCAACAAAUCACAUUAUCCCGAUUGAGAUUAUUCGGGAUUUGAUUUGUUGAGAUUUGGGGUCCGCAUACUGCCAUAUAUAUCAGAUUUCUUGAGAUUUGUUGAGAAACUAUAUAUCAGAUUUCUCUGAGUCGAUUCAUCGUAAAGAUUCAUCGUAAAGAUUCAUCGUCGAUUUCACUCUAUGAAGAUACAAUUUCAAAUCUUCAACAUAUACAUUCAGAUUGCAAUAUUACAUGAGUACAUAAGUGCACAGAUAAGCGCGCGGAUUAAAGGUUUUUCCCAGAAUAUUAAAAGAUGCAAGGCACACUGGGUUUUUUAAUCCAAAAUCUGCCGUUCUACACUUCAACAUCAUCUCAUUACAGAUUGUAGGGGGUGUUUGAAGACAAAUCUGCAUCAUUGUAAUAAUGUGUGUUAGUUAGUAGAUAAUAGAGUUAGUUGUUAACUACACAAAUUAUAUAACUCAAGUAUUGUUAGUUUUAAUUCAAUCAAAUAUUUUUGAUAUUAUGCUUGUUAAUCACAGUGUUAAGCUUCUCUGAGAGUAUGCAGGUUGAGCCUAUUUAAAGAAGAACAAAGGAAGACGGCAUACAACUUUUGAUACAGAGUAUUUCUUCCUAUUAUUCCUUCUUUCCAUGUCUUCCACUUUCCUCCUCUCUACCUUCUUUCUCCUUAUCGACCUCCUUCGAUAAUCAUGUUCUUCUUCUUCAGGAAACUCCCCGUUCUGUCUGUGACAUCCUAUCUAGUUAUAGUUAUUUUCAGUUAUUGUAUUUUAAACUAUCAUCAGUGUUUAAAUUCAAUUGUAAUUCAAACUAUUUUCAAUUGAGUCCAUUUCUAUUACGACCAUCGAUUUGUACUAUAUCAAUUGAUAUCAGAGGCCACGACUGGGAUACCACCCACUCUUGCCAGUCUUGUGGGCAGACCACGAUUGGAAGACAGACAUGCUCCUUACUUUGAUGGUUUGUAAACGCAAGGUGGUAUUGUGGGUUUUGAUUCUGACAGGUAGUUUAUGUUUGUUUUGUAGUAGGUCCAUCACGCAUUUGUGUUGACAUAUGUAGAGUCUUUUUUUUUGUUCUGACUAUUUUAAGGUCAAUGAAAUACUUAAGUUCGUAGAGGUAUGUGGUUAAAAAAUCCUUUAAGCGUAGUUUAAUGGUUUUAAUUAUUGCUAGGUUGUUGUCGAGGAAAAGAAGAUCAUUCACGUAGGCCAGAAUAAUUGUGGUUGAUGUGGAUAUCUUUCUUAUGAAUAAGGAAUAAUUCGAUUUUCAUUGAGUGAAUCCCAAUGUUUGUAAGGUAAUUGCACUACAAAAAAAAAUGACAUUGUAUGACGAACUUUUCGUGGCAGAAUUCCCCCACAAAUAGUUAUGUACUUUUGGUGACGAAAAUUCACCACUGUUACUUAUUAACCGCCACGAAAAUAUAUGGACAAGAGGACAUAUUUUUUAGAUUUUCGAUGGCGGUUUUUUAGUGGCGGAUUUCCGUCACAAAAAAAUCCUGCUCAAAAAUUCAAAUUUUCACCCAAAUUAGAUCCGAUUACCAAAAAAUAAAAAUAAAAUCUCACCCAUUUUUUUGAUUGAGCUGCUCAAAUUUGCUCAAAAAAAAGUAUUGGUGGCUGUUGGAUUGGUUAUCUAUGGAGAAUGAUGAUGAACCAAAGAAAGCCAUGAAGCACCAACGUGUUGAAAGGAUUGUCGUUUUCUAUUCUGAUAGUCUUGAUUAUAUACCAUUGUAUUGGUUUUUGGCAUCUAUUAAGAAUUGUCCAAAGACGUGGGAUAUUGGUAUGAGUCUAUCUCUUAAUUACCUAAAUAAAACAACUCGACCUGUUGGAUCGAGGUGCCUUAGAGCCAAGAUAAAAUCUUGGGUGUCCAAGGGACUACGAUGUUUGUUGUUAAACAACCUAUCCGAGGACUCAAUACGGCGAGGACUGUAACGAUUCCGGCGAACUCUGGAGGCGGAGGCGGCAGGGUACUCGACGAUUGUCGGAGGGUAGGGUUUGGGCAGUUGCGCAAUGAAACAGUGAAUUGCUAAAAUCGAUGUUGAUUUCAUUCCAUUUCCAACGUUUUAAUAUAGACUUGGACUUACUUGAAAAUAAACCUAAUUAAAGGGUCUUUUUAAUAAACUUUUAAAAUAACUUUUAUUCCAUCAAAUGGGCUCAACCCAUUUGGUAAUCCUUGAAGCGGCCAGGCUUUCUCCGCUUCCUCUGAGAUUUGAUUCUCAGACCCGGUUCUUGGCAGUUCAACUGCUCAGGACCGGCCAGACCGUCACCCACCCCUUUCUCUUACGCGAUUAGGAUUUUCUCGCCGACGAUUGCUUGGAUGUCCUCCGACGGGCUUUUGUAAUCAACCACGAUUGUAUCAGAUAUCUAACUUGUUAUAUAACAAGAAGAUCCACGCUAGUCUUGAAUAAUCAUCGACUAUUGUGAAAAAAUAUUUAUGUCCCUUAUGUGUGGGGGCAAUGAUACUUAUCCCAGGUGUCUAGCUAAAUGCAAUAAUUCGAAAUUCUGUUUGUUUUAGACAUGUUACUAAGAAAAGACAGUCUUUUAAUUGAUUUUACUUCUUAUCGACUUUCUCUGAUGAUCUUGUUCUUCUCCUCCAGGAAACUUCUCGUUCUAUCCGUGACAUCUCAUCUAGUUAUAGUUAUCUUUAUUUCCA
rnacentral:lncRNA from 1 species